UACGAAGGGUGCAAACGUUGCUCGGAAUCAUUGGGCGUAAAGCGCACGUAGGCGGCUUCGCAAGUCGGAUGUGAAAUCCCUCGGCUCAACCAAGGACGUGCAUUCGAAACUGCGGAGCUUGAGUAUGGAAGAGGGUCGCGGAAUUCCCGGUGUAGAGGUGAAAUUCGUAGAUAUCGGGAGGAACACCAGUGGCGAAGGCGGCGACCUGGGCCAAUACUGACGCUGAGGUGCGAAAACGUGGGGAGCAAACAGG
rnacentral:rRNA from 1 species